AAGGAGUAUUUUCCCAUGCAGCACGUCACUUGAAUGUGUCUGCAGUCUUAGAAGCAGAAUCACCCUACGUUCUCCAAAGAAUGGACCUUGAGCACUAGGAGGUUGUAGCAGAGAGCGCAGCUACCAAAUAGCCUUAAGAUAUAAAAUAUAUUAUUUGUAUUAGGGAUGUCUUCCCAUUACAAGUUCAAUGUGAGGGCCAUCUGCCUGUGACACCGUCACCACACUGAUCUCCAGCGCUAUGUCAGCUGAUGUGGCUGACCAUGCACAUCCCAUUCCUCACACAA
rnacentral:sRNA from 1 species